CAUCUCUGAGAAAUCAAUAUUGAGGCUUCUACUGUUUUCACUCCCUCUUUAGUAAAAUUUCUGUGAAACUAUUCCUCAGUGUAGUGUUCACACUGAUUAUGGAUGAUGAGAUGAAAAUUUUUCUUAGCUUCAGUGUCAUUCUCCAUGUCAUACAGUUUGGAUGUUAUCUAUAAUUUAAAUUAAUAAUGCUCUCAAGAAAUAACCAAGGCUGAUCCAGUUUGGCUGUUAUACUAAUGUUUAACUUCUCCCUAUCUCCUUCACCUCUCUCCAAUGCUCUGGAAGCAUGUAAAGCUGCACUUUUGCAUGCGGGAAUAGUGAACUCAUUAACCCUUGCUGAGCUGCAGCCGCUGGCAGCCGGACGUGUCUCACACAAACACACACACACACACACAGACACACACACACACACACACACACAAGCUGAUGUAAUGGGUGCUCCUAUCCUGUAAUGCAAUCGUAGCUCCUCCUUUUCUCUGUCUGCUGAGUUAUGCUCAGGGCUACACAUACACACACACACACACACACACACAAAAGCACCAAAUGCCUUUAUCCCUUACCAUCCUGCCCUGUUUUUUCUCUCUGUCACACACACACACUCACAUCCAUUCUCACAAUUCACAUCCUCUCUCUUUUCACACACACACACACACACACACACACACACACACACACACACACACACACACACUCACACACUCCCGGCAUUUUAACCAAUCAGAUCGUCCAAAGCCCUGGCCUGCUUUAGAAAGGGCCAGGCCCCUUCAGUCCCAGGCCUGCAGCAGCUGGGGCAAUUUCUGUCCACUCCCUCUGUAUGUGUGUGUGUGUCUAUUACACACACAGACGCACACACAGAGACACACAGUGGUAACAAAAUGUCUGUCAGAGUUAUGUCUGACUAUAAUUGCAGAAACAAUGAUAAAGAAAUAUGCUGUAUUUACAGAUCCAUCCUUAUUGUUGAUGAGACUCCUGAAUGUGUCUUUUUUUUAUGUUGAAAGUCAACAUAGUGAUAUGUUAACUUUCAGCAGGGUGCUGUUAAUCUGUUGCACGCUUUGUUGUUACCCUUGUUUGGACUGCCAAAGGACAAAGGAACAAAGCAGAAGUGUUGGAAUUUAUUUUUGAUACAAUUCCUCCACAAUACAAUCCGGACAUUUAAUUGUGUUCUCUCUAUUUUCCUGAGGACUGCUUCACAAACUGGCAACAGAUUAGUACUGCUGGAUUUUCACAGCAGUUACUGCUGACAGACGGGGCAGUUCCCUUUGUUGGACAAAUCUGGAGAUUCGGGAUCACAACCUAUACUUUUAAAUUCAGCUGCUGCCUGAGACAAACAGCCCCUCCUCUCUCUACCAACACUAAUGUUACCUGCACACAGUGAAUCACAUCAGCAGAAAGGGAGCAGGACAGGAGGACAGGAGGACAGGAGGAGAGAGGACAGCAGGACUGACGAGUACAUCACAGCAGGGUCCUGGUGCCCAGAUUCCAGGAUGUAGCAUGCCAAACAGUUCCACAAACUGUCUCAGUGGGCACACAGUCUGUGGCAUGUCAAAAGAUGGUAGUGAUCAGCACACAGCUGUACAGGGCUGCUGUGAGGGAGCAGCCCAAGAAGCAAAGGCUGUAGAUGACCUGAUAAGGCUCGUCUUCCCCAAAAUCCCCAUCCCAAAUGACCUGGCAUUCCAGUAUGAGAGACCCUCAAAGGAGGAAUGGUUGCCUUACACGUCUCUUACUUCAGCCAAGGGGCAGCUGGAGGUCAACGCAGUGACCAGCUGGAUCAGGAAACUCCUGGCGUAUCCAACACAGGACAGGAUGGACGCCUGAAUGGAAAGAAUUAGACACUAUAAGCGUUGCAGAUAAAACACUGCUGUCUAUCUAUUGUAUAUUAUUUAGUA